AUCGCCUAUUAUCUCUACUCUGUUUCUCUUUUAUGGAACCUUACACGGCCAAGACAGUUCUCCUUCUUCUUGUUUCCUGUGACAAGACAAGGGUUUAAUCACUUGAAGUUUACAUUACAGUUUGUUGAUUUCGCUCAGGGUUUUUACUUUGUGCUGUUGGAGGCAAAACUCUAUCAGGGGAAUAGAUCGGAAAAGUUCAAUGGAAGCGCCUUCUCAGUCAAAAUUGAACAUUGCCGGGGUGAUGUUGGAUCAAUCAUAAGAUGUGAUGUUGGAUCAAUGAUAAGUUUACUGUCUCAAAUAGGGUUUUACUUUGUGCUUUAGGAGUAAAGGGGAAUCUGAAAGAUGAUGACGAAGACAGUACUAUACGUACCAAGAUCAUCAGAAACCCAGCUCAUGACUUUUUCCUCGGAUUCGAUCAAGAUGUGUUCCUAUAUAUCUCUCCUAAGUUUCUUCGGAGUUUCUCUAAUAACAUGUAUGUACAAGGCUUGAUUAUAUUGAAAUAUUGCCUAUGGAAAUAAAUUUAAUUCAUCCCUUUCUUUAUCUUUGAAAAUCUCUCUGUAAUAAUCCCAUCCAGGCUUAAUAAAGUUAAAGCCAAAUACAGACCUGAAAGCAUUGUAACUGCAGACUUAGUACAAGAAUGUAGAAGGCCAAAUACAGACCUGAAAGCAUUGUAACUGCAGAUUUAGUAUAAGAAUGUUUUCAUCCUUCCAGUGAUGUAAUACGCAACCAAACAACCUCAAGAAUUAUGAAAGAAUGGUAUCGAUUAUGGGCAAAACUCUUAUAUUCCUGUCAUGGAGGACACCUCAGUAUACUGCUCUGGAUUUGGAGAAUUGCAAUAUCUGUUUGCUUUCUGUUUUAGUUUCAGUUUUCUUUUGGAUUUGGAGGCUCACAUUUUUUUGUUUCAGUUUGCUCUAGAUUUAAGAGUUUCUUUUGUUUUGCUGUCAAUUAGGAUACCCCUCAAUCCGAAUUAGGACACCCCUCAAUCCGAAUUAGGACACCCCUCAAUCGGAAGUCCUCAGCUUCUCCACUUUAUGAUAUAGAUUGAAAUACACAUAAUUAGCCAAUAUUGCUGCUGAAGAGAUUUCCGCAAUUAUGAAGUAGUUUAUGAUUAGUUCUGGAUUUGAAGUCACACCAUCCGUGACGAGAUUGGAGGCAUGUCAUAAUCAGGCAUGCAAAUCCACUUCGACGACAUAUACAAUCCUGGAACAGAAGGUUUAGCAAAGAACAACUUGAUUCAAAGAGAGCUGCCAAACAACAUUUGUUACUAGACAGUCAAAUACCAUUGGAAUCCAGUUCCGAUGGAAGCUCGAGUGAACAUGAGUUUUAAUAGGAACCAGACGUCGGGCGUUCUUUAACUCAAAUUUUGAUUCACAAUAUUAUCAGAUGUUAAGUUGUGUCAACUUUAAUCAAAGGAUGACUUAAUGUAAAAAAGAACAAAAAAAAGCCUCCAAGUGCUACACUUUUCCGUGCAUACAUCAGAGGGCACCAUUAUGAUUGUCUUCAACUGGGUUGCUGUGAUAAAUUCUUUCUUUGGUGGUCUAUUGAUGCUGUGGGCAACAAUCUCUGAAAGCCUUCACCUCAUGAACAAUGUGCAUUACUCAAUGCAGUGCUGUUUUGGUUAAUUUGCUAAAUGUUGACACACAAUACUAGAUAGGACUACCUCGAAGUGGAUAACAAGGGUGAUUAUGGACAGGUUCUUCCUACCACCUAUUAUGAAGCCAAGGUAUAGAGAGUGAUGAUGAAGUUGUGAAAAAAAAACAAGCAAAACCAUUCAUUAGCUAUAUUAUUACAUCUUCUUAGUUGCUGUAUAUAUGAACUUCUAAUAAUAAAAGAGUCUAGCAAAGUGAAACCGAGUGUUUUUUUUUUCCUUUCAUGAAUUGCAACACUAUUUGCAAGCAUGUUAAAAGAUAUAUGCUUUGUCUUCU